CAGUUACAUUCUGCCUCCACUAGAGAGGAAUGUCGCAAGGGUGGGGAAAGAAACUCUGGGUUUGCGACCUUAGCUCUCGCUUUCCGGCCAAUACUGAGGUGCUUGAAGGCUGGUUGGGGUGGUGAGGCCUGAGGCAGUUUUCGGCAGACACAACAUCUUUGUUUGUAUGUGGUGCUGAGGAUCGAACCCGGACUGCACGCAUGCCAGAGGAGCACGCUACCGCUUGAGCCACAUCUCCAGCCCCCGUUUUUUAUUUUUUGAGACAGGAUCUCACUAAGUUUCUGAAGCUGGCCUUGAACUUGUGAUCCUGCCUCAGCCUCCUGAGUUGCUGGUAUUACAAGUAUGCACCAUUGCAACUGUCCACAUGUGGCUAUUUAAAUUUUUAAUUUUAAUUAAAUAAAAUAAUUAGGUUCCUCAGUCACACUGAUCACCUUUUUAAGUACUCAGUAGCCACAUGUGGCUAGUUACUACAGUAUUGAACAUUGCAGAUAAAGAACAGUUCCAUUUUCACAGGAAGUCCUCUUGAACAGCACUGCUAUAGUGUUCCGUGGAACUCACUGAAAACACUAGAGCAAUCCAUAAUUUCUCCCAUUGAUUUGUAAUGGCUCCACCAAUAUAUUUUAAAUUUCUGACAUAUGCAUUGGUUUGUUUUGAUUCUUUCCUACAUUGGUUUGUUUUUAUAUUGCUCCUUGAUUUAUCUUUUUUCUGUUCCAAUAUCACAUAGCUAAUUGUGAGUCAAACUCCUAACAGAAACGAAGAAUUCUUACAUAGAGUAUAAAGUUAGAUUUGAAGGAAUAGUAAAGAUUGUUAUACUUCUAAAUUUCUGUAAAUGUAAACAUUUGUUAGAAUUUGAUUCAUAAUAUUGAGAUCCAUACUCCAUUAUUUAUUCAUUGAUCCUACAAUUAUUUACUGACAAGUGCCUGACAAGCAUUCAGGUCCUAGAGUUAGAAUGGCAGACAAGGUCCCUUGUUCCCUUAUUUUAAUGGAACUUUCACUCUUGCUUUAGAGAGGGAGGGAAAAAGAGAAAGGGGUAGAGUAUAUUCAACAAGCAAAUAUAUGUAUACAUACAUAUUUUUUAAACUAUUUAGUCACAAAUACUGUACAAGGAAUUGAAAUUAGAGUGAUAGAGAAGUAACUGGUGGUCUCCAGAGUAGACCUCUGUGAAUAAGUAGCAUUUAAACAGAUCUAAAACCAAAAAAAAAAAAAAAAAAACAGGUCUAAAACCAAGAGCAGUGAUCUUUGUGCCUGUAAUCCCAGCUACUCAGGAGGCUGAGGCAGGAAGAUUGUGAGUUCCAGACUAGCCUUAGCAACUUAGUGAGACCCCCUCUCUAAAAUAAAAAACAAAAUAAAAUAAACUGAGAUAUACCCAAUAGAAGUUGCCAGACACUAGAAAUUCCAGGCAUAGCUAGUAUACCAGCUCUCUGGUGGGAAAAAGCAUGGUACAGCAUGUUUAAGGAAUAAAAAUAUGGAUGUAACUAGGGUUAUAUGUGAUCAUAAAGAAGAGUAAUGGUAGAUGACACUGGGAAAGUAGCUUGUUACAUGGGGUAUAUAGGGUUUUGUAAGCUAGAAUAGGAAAUUUGUUCCCCCUCCUUCCCCUGCCAUAUUGUAGGGAGCUAAUACAAGGUCUUAAACUGGAGAUAAACAUGACCUAACUUAAAAUUUUAAACAAUUGUUCUGACAGCUAUAUGGAGAAUUUCCUGGAUAAUGAGUAGAGAUGAGACUUGUUAGGCUAGGUCAGACAAGAAAUGAUCAAUUUGACUAAGCCAAUAGUAGUAAAAAUGGAAUAUACUGGACAAAUUCAGAACAUUUUAGCUAUAGAAUCAACAGGAUUUGUUAUCAAUUGGAUAAAGGUAUGAAGAGAAUAGAAAACUCAAGGAUGAUGUUUAUAUUUUGCUAGGUUGUUUCCAGGCUGAUUGUUACAUGCAAAAUUGCAACCAUGAAACUACUGAAUAGGGCUGGAGUUGUAGUUUAGUGGUAGAGCACCUUGUCUAAUACAUGUGAGGCCCUGGAUUAGAUCCUCAGCAGCAUAUAAAAAUAAAUUUAAAAAAUAAAGAUAUUGUGUCCAUCUACAAAAAAAAUUUAAAAGAUACCACUAAAUAUACUUUGAAUAAAUUUGCUUAAGUAAAUAUAUUUCAUACACAUUUAAGCUGCAGAAGCAAAAGCUUGUACUCAUGCCUUGAUUUAAUUAUUAGGAAUCUGAUUCCUAAGAAUUAGGGGUUUAUAUUACAUCAAUUGUGGACAAAAAUUGGACUGUUCCACUAAGUAUCCAAGAUAGCAGAAGAGAGUGAAUUGAGAAAAUUACCUGCCAUAGGUGCAGAAGUUCUAUGGGAAUCUCUUAUUUUUUUUUUUCAAUUCAUGUUGAUUUUGCAUGUUAUUCUACAAUAGGUGCAUGUUUAUGUUAAUAAUUAGAAUGUUUUAAAUUACUCACUAAAAUAUUUUGUCAAUAAUUAAGUUGUUUAGCCCUUGGCCCCUCAAACUGGUGAAAUUUAACCUCUAGGAAGAUGCACUGUGGUUAUUCUAUUUCUUGAUGGUGGUUUGUUUGUUGAUAUCUGCUAGCACAUAGUCACACAUCCACUUAGAGAAGCACAGACCACAUUUGUGAGCAUUUGCAGUUUGAUAUAACUUGAAACAAUAACCAAGGAAGUAAAAGAAUUACAUUUAGAAACUACUAAAAGCCUUUAUAAUCUUCACUUAAAAUGAGUAGAAACACCGCACCCUGUGUUAAAAUAUACCAAAUGAAGCUGUUCCAUGUGUUUUUAAGGGACAUUUGAGAAUAAUUAUGGGGAAAAAUGAAUGAAGGUUAUAGUUCUCAGUAUGUUUUUGUUUGUUUGUUUGUUUGUUUUGGUACUGGGGAUUGAACUCAGGGCCUUGUGCAUGUGAGGCAAGCAGUCUACCAACUGAGCUAUACCCCCAACCCCUCAGUAUGUUUUCUGUUGGGCUUUACAGUAAAAUAGACUUAUCUGGAUUUUACUACUUUAUUCAACAACCAACAAGCAGAUUUCCCCAGAAGUUAUGAAAACUGUUGUAGACCUUAUGAAAUGCUUGUUAAUGUAAGACCCUGAUAAAUUUUUGAUAUUAUAAAAUAUUUAUGUAUAUAUCUACAAAAUAGUUCUUUUUUUAUAUCCACUGUAAUUAGUAUUUUUAACAUUUCUAUUCAUAAAACUCCAGAUUGAAAUAACAGUGCUGAGCGCAGUGAGCCACACCUGCAAUCCCAGAAACUUGGAGAGGCAGAGGCAAGAGAGUAACAAGUUCAAGAGCAGACUCAGCAAAUUAGCGAGGCCCUAAGCAACUUAGUGAGACCCUGUCUCAAAAUAAAAAAGGACUAGGGGUGUAGCUCAGUGGUAAAGCAUCCCUAGGUUCUAUCCCUAGUACCCCACCCCCCAAAAAAAAGUAGCAGCAGCAAGAAAUAAUAGUAGCCUCUCUAGUUAAAGGUUACUUAAUCUCCCCCAAAUAGCCCCCAAUGCACUAUUAGUUCUUUGAAGUAACUUAAAAGCAAUUCAACUUAGAAGUUUACAAUAGAUUGCAUAACAGUAGUAUAGAAUAAGAAGCCAAGCACUAAAAAUUUUAGACUUUAUAGGCUACUUAUCUUUGUCCUGAUGGCUCAAGAGUAGUCAAAGGCAAUAUGUAAACAAAUGAUGAUUUUUUUUU